rnacentral:lncRNA from 1 species
GUAGAUGAGGCAGCGCAGGGGCUGCCGCUUCGCCGCCUGCUGCUUCGCCACGAAGGGGUUCCCGUGCUGUGGGAGCGAGUCUGGGACCACUGGUCGGAACUGAGAAUUCCAGCUGUGUGUCAGGGCUAGGAGGGCUCCGGGAUGCGCGCGAGGUAAGGAACUGGUGCUACGCUGUUCUCCUUUGUUCUCCUGACCCCUGGGAAUUCUGGGAAAGUCGUUCACAAGAGACUUGAGUUUGGAUUCACCUGACUGUAAAAGUGCUGACAAUGAGUGUUUCCACUGUUCCUGUGACAGAGAGCCUGGACUUCAGCUGCUGAAGAAGAACUCGGACCUAACCCUCCAGAGCGGGACCUUUACUUUGGCACAUAUUUGGCCCUUAGCUAAACAAAAAUUGAAAAGGGGAGAUUUUAAAUUUUCAUCUAAUUGAGACUUUAUAUAAUAGAUCUUUUUCUUAUUUUAUUGUGGCAACAAGAGGAGAGAUUGCAUUCUUGAGUUUUUAUUGUUGGAAUGUAAUAAUCCUGGCUAUUCCACUGCUCUUGUGGAGUUGUUUGGUCUAUGCUGGUACAUGGUACUUGCUAUGAAACACUGUCUGGUGAACUGAAUAGGCAAGUAGCUAAAGAAAACGUCAUAAGAAACAGAAAUAGGAGUUGAGUCCAAUCUCUCUCCUGCACUGCAAGAUUCUGUUGCAGUGGUCCCUACACCUAUUGCCAUAGCACCCCCAAAUUUUCUUUAAAGCUAAGCAAAUAGAAAUAGAGGAUGGAUUCUCAAGUAGAUAUACCAAGUAAGGGAGGAGACCACCCCUCACCAUCUUAUGCCCAAUUUCUGCCUCCAAAGAAAGAAGAAGUAAAAACUGAAAGGCGGAAAUGAAAUCCACAGGCAGACAGCCAGGUGCUGCACCCUGGGCCCAGUAGUUGAAGAUUAACCCCUGACGUAUCUAUAGAUUACAGACAUUGUAUAGAAAUGCACUGUGAAGCUGGGCGCGGUGGCUCAAGCCUGUAAUCCCAGCACUUUGGGAGGCCGAGACGGGCGGAUCACGAGGUCAGGAGAUCGAGACCAUCCUGGCUAACACAGUGAAACCCCGUCUCUACUAAAAAUACAAAAAAACUAGCCGGGCGAGGGGCGCCUGUAGUCCCAGCUACUCGGGAGGCUGAGGCAGGAGAAUGGCAUAAACCCGGAGGCGGAGCUUGCAGUGAGCUGAGAUCUGGCCACUGCACUCCAGCCUGGGCGACAGAGUAAGACUCCGUCUCAAAAAAAAAAAAAAAAAAAGAAAUGCACUGUGAAAAUCCCUAUCCUGUUUUGUUCCGAUCUAAUUACUGGUGCAUGCAGCCCCCAGUCAUGUACCCCCUGCUUGCUCAGUCAAUCAUGACCGUCUCACACGCACCCCCUUAGAGUUGUGAGCCCUUAAGAGGGACAGGAAUUACUUACUCUGGGAGCUCGGCUCUUGAGACAGGAGUCUUGUCGAUGCCCCCGGCCAAAUAAACCCCUUCUUUCUUUAA